rnacentral:lncRNA from 1 species
CCAUUUCCUUCUCCAUGUCGAAAGUGUGCUUUUAAUAAAUAAACACAACAAUCUUGAACUUUGAAGUUAGGAAAUUAGGAAAACCCACGCAACACCCGACCUAUAAACUCUGAAAUUUGGGGACCACUUGAGGGAUGAAGAUAACCACAUAAUUGGAUGGUCUAAGGGUCACCAAGGAAGACCCGAUGCUUGGGAGAGGUUGAGUUCAAGUUUACCUUAAGGUAGUACCUAGGGUCCCUUAAGGAAGUACCUCAAGGCCACUAAGGUAGUACCUAAGGGCCCUUAAGGUAGUACCUAAGCUACAGUCCCAAGAAACCAUUGGUGGACCACUUGGAGAAUGAAGAGAACCACAUAAUUGGAUGGUCUAAGAGUCACCAAGGAAGACUCGAGGCUUUGGAGAGGUUGAGUUGAAGUUUAACUUAAGGUAGUACCUAGGGUCCCUUAAGGUAGUACCUUAAGGCCACUAAGGUAGUACGUAAGGGCCCUUAAGGUAGUACCUAAGCUAUAGUCCCAAGAAACCAUUGGUGGAGCACUUGAGGGAUGAAGAGAACCACAUAAUUGAAUGGUCUAAGGGUCACCAAGGAAGACCCGAUGCUUGUGAGAGGUUGAGUUCAAGUUUAACUUAAGGUAGUACCUAGGGUCCCUUAAGGUAGUACCUCAAGGCUACUAAGGUAGUACCUAAGGGCUCUUAAGGUAGUACCUAAGCUACAGUCCCGAGAAACCAUUGGUGGAUCAUUUCAACACUGAAGAGAACCACAUGAUGGGAUGGUGUAAGGGUCACAAAGGAAGACCCGAGGCUUAGGAGAGGUUACCUUAAGGUAGUACCUAGGGUCCCUUAUGGUUGAGCAUCUUAGAAUCUCUCUUUGUUAGUUUUUCCCAAUUUAUAAUUGCAGUACAACUCAAGAAGGGGGGAGAAAAG